AUUGAACGCUGGCGGCAGGCCUAACACAUGCAAGUCGAACGAGUGGCGGACGGGUGAGUAAUGUCUGGGAAACUGCCCGAUGGAGGGGGAUAACUACUGGAAACGGUAGCUAAUACCGCAUACCAUCGGAUGUGCCCAGAUGGGAUUAGCUUGUAGGUGAGGUAACGGAUCACCUAGGCGACGAUCGCUAGCUGGUCUGAGAGGAUGACAAGCCACACGGGAACUGGGACACGGUCCAGACUGCUACGGGAGGCAGGAGUGGGGAAUAGGUCGCAAUGGGCGCAAGCCUGAUGCAGUCAUGCCGCGUGUGUGAAGACGGCCUUCGGGUUGUAAAGUCCUUUCAGCGGGGAGGCGUUACCCGCAGAAGAAGCACCUGCUAACUCCGUGCCAGCCGCCGCGGUAAUAC
rnacentral:rRNA from 1 species